UCAGAUUGAACGCUGGCGGCAGGCCUAACACAUGCAAGUCGAACGGAAACAUGUCUAGCUUGCUAGAUGAUGUCGAGUGGCGGACGGGUGAGUAAUGCUUGGGAACUUGCCUUUGCGAGGGGGAUAACAGUUGGAAACGACUGCUAAUACCGCAUAAUGUCUUCGGACCAAACGGGGCUUAGGCUCCGGCGCAAAGA
rnacentral:rRNA from 1 species